GAUGAACGCUGGCGGCGUUCCUAAUACAUGCAAGUCGAGCGAACAGACGAGGAGCUUGCUCCUCUGACGUUAGCGGCGGACGGGUGAGUAACACGUGGAUAACCUACCUAUAAGACUGGGAUAACUUCGGGAAACCGGAGCUAAUACCGUAUAACAUGUUGAACCGCAUGGUUCAACAGUGAAAGACGGUCUUGCUGUCACUUAUAGAUGGAUCCGCGCCGCAUUAGCUAGUUGGUAAGGUAACGGCUUACCAAGGCAACGAUGCGUAGCCGACCUGAGAGGGUGAUCGGCCACACUGGAACUGAGACACGGUCCAGACUCCUACGGGAGGCAGCAGUAGGGAAUCUUCCGCAAUGGGCGAAAGCCUGACGGAGCAACGCCGCGUGAGUGAAGAAGGUCUUCAGAUCGUAAAACUCUGUUAUUAGGGAAGAACAAAUGUGUAAGUAACUAUGCACGUCUUGACGGUACCUAAUCAGAAAGCCACGGCUAACUACGUG
rnacentral:rRNA from 1 species